rnacentral:rRNA from 1 species
AGAGAGUGCAAGCGUUAAUCGGAAUUACUGGGCGUAAAGCGCACGUAGGUGGAUAUUUAAGUCGGAUGUGAAAGCCCUAGGCUCAACCUGGGAAUUGCACUCGAUACUGGGUAUCUAGAGUAUGGUAGAGGGAAGUGGAAUUUCCGGUGUAGCGGUGAAAUGCGUAGAUAUCGGAAAGAACACCAGUGGCGAAGGCGGCUUCCUGGACCAAUACUGACACUGAGGUGCGAAAGCGUGGGGAGCAAACAGGAUUAGAGACCCUGGUAGUCCACGCCGUCAACGAUGAGAACUAGCUGUUGGAGGGGUUACCCUUUAGUAGCGAAGCUAACGCGUUAAGUUCUCCGCCUGGGGAGUACGACCGCAAGGUUA